rnacentral:lncRNA from 1 species
AUUAUUAUACAUGUUCUGCCAUGCUUCGACCCCUCAGGGAUAACGUCUCUGAUUAUCAAGAAGAAAGCACUAGUCCAAAAAAAAGAAAAAAUUGCCUAGCAUGGUGGGGUUAUGGAAAAAAGCCACGUCCAACCAACUCCUGCAAUUUUCUGUUUCUUAGAGAUUUUGGUCUCUUGCUCUGAACUUCUCACUUUCUCAGAAAAAAAAAAAGAAGGAAAGAAAAAAAAAGUUAGUGCUAAGAAAGGCCUUCUGAAAAGUCUGACGCCUCUGUCCCUUAAUUUAUUUUCUCAUUAAUGAGUAAAGGGGGGAUUUAUUGUCUGAAACAAUGUCUGUUUCAUAUCAACUCUUUUUCCCUGUUUUUUCCCCCAGACAGUGGAGCUCCAAAGAGACCGGAGCAGAUGUUUUCUAUUUCAGGAGAGAAAAGUCUCCCCCAAUUCCUGAAAGAUUCCUGGAAUUCUUAUACUUAAUAAAAAUUAGCUACAGGGAAAGAAUCAUGAAUCAUGAUUUUGGAGUCCAUGAAGCCUCUGGGAGCUCAUGUCAUGUUCCCCCCUCCUAACCUCCCACCACCCCAAAUGCUGCCCAUCGCCCACCAGGCUUCAUGGGAAAAGCCCUCUGAAAAACAAGGCACCAGGCUCUUCUGGCUGCGCCCACAUGCAGCCCUGUAUUUCUGAUCACAGAAGCCAAUCUCUGUGUUAUAAUCCCAAAAGCUAGAAGAGGGAAUCAGACCUGGGGUUUACUCCUGGUUCAGCCUUGGCUUUGGUACUCAUUUCAGAAAUGCACCACUUCCAUUACCUACCUCAUCUGUCCAACAGAGUCAGCAGCAUCUGACCUCUCACUCUCUUUGGAGUAACGCAAAUAUGAAAUGAGAUGUAACUGUGCACUAAUAAAUUAAAUCCUUAUAAAAGUGAAUAGUAUUUGUAUUAAAAGCAUUGACAUCUGGCAUUCUGUUGACAAGGACUUGGGGUUAACUAGUACAUUUCUGCACAUGUGGGUAGGAUUACAACUCUCGAAGGCAUAUACCUCUCGAAGGUUGCCCAUCCCUGAUCAGGUCCCUUUACCACUCCCAGUAAAGGCUGUUGCAUCGCAAGCCUUUAACCAUUCGACAUUUAUUCAAUAAACAUUUAUUGAGCAUCUGGCACAGUACUUGGCACACGCUGGGUGCUCAGUAAAUGGUUGUUGAAUAAUGAAUGAAUGAGUGCCUAAUGCAGAGAUGAAAAAGACAUGGCAGGCUGCCACCAGUCUCUGAUCCUGAACCCAUAUCUGAAAUCAUUAAUGGAUUAAGGUGCUCUUCUCUGAAGACCUUGGACCCAGCUCAGAAUUCUCAGACUCGGCACACGAAAUGAAACCUCUUUGCCAUUCUGCACCUAGGCACAGAGAUAAAACACAUUCUGACCCUGCUUUCAUGGAACAAAUGAACGAACGGGGGAAAAGGCAGUAAAUUAACAAAGGUAACAUAGGAUAUGUUAAGACAGAAGUGCACGAGCCCAGAAGAAGGUCGUGGCAUUGAAGGAGGUGGACAAAAUGAGAGUUCUCAAACUUACCUUCCCUUUUAAAACGGUACUCCCAUUGCCUUUGGAAUGGAAAAGCAAUGAGAUCCUGCUGUAUAGCACUGGGGACUUUAUCUAGUCACUUAUGAUGGAGCAUGACUAUGUGAGAAAAAAGAAUGUACAUAUGUAUGUGUGAAUGGGUCAUCUUGCUGUACAGUAGAAAACUAAGAGAACACUAUAAGCCCGCUAUCAUGGAAAAAAAUAAAAAUCAUUUUAAAAAAAUGUCCUUUUUUCAUUCCUUCCCCUACCCAACUUCUAUACUUUGGCAUUCUAAGGGUCCUACCCUGGUCCUCCUGAAUUCUGUGUAGACCCUCUGGGAUCAUCUUAUUUCCUCUUUUACAUCAAGCUGAUUAACACCAGUCCCUAGCCUGGAACUCUGAAGUUUCAGACAAGUAUCUGGUGAUAGAAAUAAGGAAGAAGAAGACUUUAAGCCUAACUAUGAACUGGACUUGUGUUGGCAAUAUUCACAAAAACAGGGUUCCCUGCAAGAGAACCAAGUUGGGUGAAGUGGGGACAGUAUGCCUUCAUUUCUGACGGUAUUUCCAACUGCCUCCUACUCCUCCACUUGAACACCAGCAGGCUAUUCAAAUCCUAACUCAUGAACUCUCUUCCCCUAACCCUCCUUAGCACCUCUGUUCAGCUUCUAAUAAUCCUGAUAUCCUUUAAGCAUUACUAUUCAAGUCUUCUAAACUACAAAUCCUUAGCUUGGCGUAAUCUGACCCUGUGAUGGCCCCAGUCUCUGGCCACAAAGGUCAUGUGACUCCAAGCCUCUGCCCAUGGCAUGCACCCUGCUGAUAUGUACCACAGACUCUCUCUUUACUACGCUUUUGCAUCCUUUGACAUCCAAAAACCCAAUUCCAAUGUCACUUUGUUUUGUUUUGUUAUCUUUUUUUUUUUCUUUUAGGGCCACACCCAAGGCUUAUGGAGGUUCCCAGGCUAGGGGUCAAAUCGGAUCUGUGGCUGCCGGUCUACACACAGCCACAGCAACUUGGGAUCUGAGCUGCAUAUGCAACGUACACCACAGCUCAGGGCAGU